rnacentral:sRNA from 1 species
GACUGGGGGCUGCUGCUGCUGCUGCUGCUGCUGCUGCUGCUGCUGCUGCUGCUGACACACUGGCCGAGUUCGAAGGAAUGCCGAGCAGCAGCAGACGCAGCAGCACUGCGGCUGCCAUCUUAAUUUGCAUGCAUUUGCUGUCUCCGCGAGUG